rnacentral:sRNA from 1 species
AUCAGCUGGAGUCAAAGGUAGUAAAGUUUAUGGGCUUUCGGUUGGCAUUUUGUUGGCUUACCUCAUUUCCACGCCGCAUAUACGAAUUUCGCCCUAAUAGAGUCAUAAAGUUUGGCAUUCGGUGGCCGGGAAUCGAUGUGAUUAAAACCUAACUCACGAACUAUAUUGUUUCGAUAUGCAGUAUCUUGGCAAAGGUAUCGUGUUCGGUCAAAUUUGAGAAGUUGGUCUAUAUAUACACACGGUUUUUAGUUUUGUUUGAUAGUUGCACAGCUAUUUCGCUCUAAAAUAACUUAAAAAAUCAUGGUGACUUUCCAGCGAGCUCGUAUCACAUAUAUAUUUGCUUUAACUAUCUUGAUUAUGCAAGUAAUACGUACAUCUAAAGCUGCUGGACUCCUUGAUUCUAUAACUGGGACUACUGGGACCACAUGUGUAAACAACUCCCUUUUGUCCAGUUUAUCGAGCGCACUUUCAAGUCUUUCAUCAGGGGACCUUAGUUUGUUAACAUUGUUGAGUCCCGCCCUGAUUAAUGUUCUUAAACUUUUAACGCAGGUUUUAUCUGCUCUCAGCGGCUAAAUCAUGUGUACAUUUAAUUUUCAAAUUUGUGUGCAGUUGAAUAAAUAAACGAAUUACUUA